UAUGUAUUACAUAUUAUGAUC
rnacentral:piRNA from 1 species